CCCGGCGGCCUGCUACCUGAGCCCGCGGCACGCUCGGCGCCCGCCUCCGUCCAGCAGCCCGGGGCCAGGCUGCCGCGGGCCCGGCAGGAAGCGGCUGGCGCCGGGGGAGGAGCGCGGCCCUCGGGCCCCCCUUUGGAUACUGAAAGGUCACUCUCAGGUCUCCCAGGAGCCUUCUUCUCCAGGCUGAUCAUCCCCAGCUCUCAGCCUGUCCUCGCAGGGAGGUGUUCCAUCCCUGGGAUAUUUUUUGUGGCCCUCUGCACAUUGUCCAACCAGGUUCACAUCUGAACUGAGGUCUCCACAUCUGGAUGCAGUACUCCAGCUUACAUUCCCAUCAUGCCUUGUAGAAAAAAUCCACGGGGGACGAAAGAUAACACUGAGUCCAAACCCUGAGAACAGAGCCCCAUGAAAGCAACAAAUUAUAAACUCUACUGAAGAGAUUUUCUUCAGAAAGAUCACAGGUCCCAUGCUUUAGUCAUGGCCUGUUCCUCUGCCAGCAGGUUCAGAGAGUGAUCUGUGAGAGCUAAGUGAUUUCUUUCAAGUAAGCUGCUCACGAUGACUACAGAAACCUCAAGGAUUACAGUACACAAACAAAGGGAGAAAAGCUGCUUCAAAUAAUACACCCAGACAAUGGAGUUGCCGUGAUGGUAGCAAUGCAAAAUAUGGACAGGGAUUUAAAUGAAACGGGUGAUAUCUGUAUAGUUUGGAGGGCUCACGUGUGCCAAAUUUGGCAGCAUGAGUGUUCAUAUUGCUUGUUGCUCCACCCCUUGAACAAUGAGGCUAAACCCCAUAUGUGCAGGAGUUGGUAGAGCACAAGCAGUUCUGCUAAUCACACUGCAUGCAAAAGCAAAAAGACAAAGGGAACUAGUAAUGCUUAGACUAGCAUUGGGGAAAUAAUUAAGCAUGAAUGAAAUAUUGUAUGUGGAUUUGAAAUGAAUGCGAGGCAUUCUUGGAAACAAUUGUGCUGUUUCAGUUGUGCUGCUUUCCCCCCUAAGUUUCACAAAGUAAUUUGCAUGUCAUUUAAAUAAAUACCAUAAAUUAUUGCAAACUUUUUGUUUUUAUUUACAUAAAACAAAAUACUCAUUUCCAUUAUUGUUUGGAUUACCUGACAAGAGUGAAAUGCAGAGGCCUUUGAGAUCAAACUUGUCUCUUCUCCUCAAAAUACUACAGAUUUCUCAUGCAUGCGUGAGCCAGAAAUGACCCCACCUUCAGCCUUGCCUUACAUAGGCAAUUAGUGCUCUGUUGAUGUAACAGAGAUAGAGGAUUAGCUAUUUCCAUGCAGCCAAGAUGAAGCUGCAAGCUGGUCAAGGAUACUGGAACGUGGUACUUUGCAGUCGUCAAGGUUUCAGUGACCCUUCAAGAAAAGAAGAACCGAAUGCUCACCUACUGGCAUUCAGUGCUCACCGGCCAAAUCUACUUUUUCCUGCUGUCAGAGAGUCAACAAGCAGCUAAUUCAGAACCCUUAACAUUUCGUGAAUUCAGACAACUAUAAGAAAAUCCAGUUAUUGAAAUACAGAUCAGAAGAAGGUGAGUGCAAAAAGUCAGGUAGGUGUACGUUCCUCUGAAGGAUCAUACGGAACCUGUUAGCCACUGAUAACUAAAUAUAGAUACCAUCAUCUGAAAACCCAAAUGACCUAACAAUCUGCAAGGAGCAACUGAAUAUUUAGCAUAAUUUUUUAUGUUUUCAUCAUAUGACACUAAAAGGUCAUUCAGACUUCCAACCUAUACGGACUACCUUCAUGUUGUUUGUAUUUACACCUGUUUGCUCCCUCCAUGCUGUCUCUAAAAGAAAGCCUCAACAAGUAUUCUCCUCUCUUCUUAUACAACUGGAUCUGCUAUCCCCCAUGGUCUGUUUUAAUAAUGUGUGCUACGCUUCAGACUGAAAUCCAAAGGAACUCAUUAUAUAGACUUCUUUCUCACAGAAGGACGUACUGUGGUCUCAAUUUCUACGGCUGUUUUUGUU